UUAUAACAUUUAUUAUUAUGCUUAUAUUAUAUAUUAGGUUUAUAUAUAUAUAUAUAUAUUAGGGUAGUUCUUAAUAGGGUUGUUUUUGAACUUUUAUGCUCCCAGGGGCUUAAACGCUUUUAAAUUGA